ensembl:lncRNA
GGGAUCUGCCCAUGUCUUUGGGCGUAAUGGAGCGCUGUCCCGAGUGACAGGCGACAGGUGCCUGAGCGGAGCCUGGGCUAUAUUUACUAAGGUCGAGGGCGACGUUUGGUUGGGGACUCUCCUGGAAUAGUGCCAACGACAUCUCGUGGCGAAACCUAAAACGUGGAUGCACAGCGGGCCGCCGGUGUAGUGUGGCCGUCUAACAGGAAGUACAUUAAGCCAGGGGGCCGUACUGUACAUCCAACAUAAACAAACCCAAAACAUGGGUAAGAUGUAGUUAUUCCCAGCUCGGUGGAACAAUGGAGGAGCUAUAUUAGGUGGAUUCUCACACUUUUGAGCUCUGGGUGGGUGGACUGCAGGAUUAAAG